CAGUCGAACGGAGCUGCUUUGAUGAAGUUUUCGGAUGGAUUUAAAACAGCUUAGUGGCGGACGGGUGAGUAACGCGUGGGUAACCUGCCUCACACUGGGGGAUAACAGUUAGAAAUAGCUGCUAAUACCGCAUAAGCGCACGGUUCCGCAUGGAACAGUGUGAAAAACUCCGGUGGUGUGAGAUGGACCCGCGUCUGAUUAGCCAGUUGGCGGGGUAACGGCCCACCAAAGCGACGAUCAGUAGCCGGCCUGAGAGGGUGAACGGCCACAUUGGGACUGAGACACGGCCCAAACUCCUACGGGAGGCAGCAGUGGGGAAUAUUGCACAAUGGGGGAAACCCUGAUGCAGCGACGCCGCGUGAGUGAAGAAGUAUUUCGGUAUGUAAAGCUCUAUCAGCAGGGAAGAAAAUGACGGUACCUGAAUAAGAAGCCCCGGCUAACUACGUGCCAGCAGCCGCGGUAAUACGUAGGGGGCAAGCGUUAUCCGGAUUUACUGGGUGUAAAGGGAGCGUAGACGGCAAGGCAAGUCUGAAGUGAAAGCCCGGUGCUUAACGCCGGGACUGCUUUGGAAACUGUUUGGCUGGAGUGCCGGAGAGGUAAGCGGAAUUCCUAGUGUAGCGGUGAAAUGCGUAGAUAUUAGGAAGAACACCAGUGGCGAAGGCGGCUUACUGGACGGUAACUGACGUUGAGGCUCGAAAGCGUGGGGAGCAAACAGGAUUAGAUACCCUGGUAGUCCACGCUGUAAACGAUGAUUGCUAGGUGUAGGUG
rnacentral:rRNA from 1 species